UGGUUCUGGCAUCGAUGAAGAACGCAGCGAAAUGCGAUAAGUAAUGUGAAUUGCAGAAUUCAGUGAAUCAUCGAAUCUUUGAACGCACAUUGCGCCCGCCAGCAUUCUGGCGGGCAUGCCUGUUCGAGCGUCAUUUCAACCCUCGAGCCCCCCCCGGGGGGCCCGGCGUUGGGGACCGGCAAUCUCGCUGGCCGGCCCUGAAAUUCAGUGGCGGCCCGUCCGCGGCGACCUCUGCGUAGUAGUCAUACACCGCACCGGAAACCCGACGUGGCCACGCCGUAAAACACCCCAACCUCUGAACGUUGACCUCGGAUCAGGUAGGACUACCCGCUGA
rnacentral:misc_RNA from 1 species